rnacentral:rRNA from 1 species
UACGGGGGGGGCAAGCGUUGUUCGGAAUUACUGGGCGUAAAGGGCUCGUAGGCGGCCAACUAAGUCGGAUGUGAAAUCCCCAGGCUUAACCUGGGAACUGCAUCCGAUACUGGAUGGCUUGAAUCCGGGAGAGGGUUGCGGAAUUCCAGGUGUAGCGGUGAAAUGCGUAGAUAUCUGGAGGAACACCGGUGGCGAAGGCGGCAUCCUGGACCGGCAUCGACGCUGAGGCGCGAAAGCCAGGGGAGCAAACGGG